rnacentral:rRNA from 1 species
CAAAAGUUUGGUCCUGGCUUUAAUAUCAGCUUUAACCCAAUUUACACAUGCAAGCCUCCGCAGCCCCGUGAGAAUGCCCUCAAUCCCCCGUCCGGGGACGAGGAGCCGGUAUCAGGCACAUAAAUUUAGCCCAAGACGCCUUGCUUAGCCACACCCCCAAGGGAAUUCAGCAGUGAUAAACAUUAAAACAUAAGUGAAAACUUGACUUAGUCAGGGUUAAGAGGGCCGGUAAAACUCGUGCCAGCCACCGCGGUUAUACGAGAGACCCUAGUUGAUAUAUUCGGCGUAAAGAGUGGUUAUGGAAAACAAGCACUAAAGCCAAAGAGCCCUCAGGCCGUUAUACGCACCCGGGGCCUCGAACCACUAUCACGAAAGUAGCUUUACCCUCGCCCACCAGAACCCACGAGAGCUGGGACACAAACUGGGAUUAGAUACCCCACUAUG